GCGGCCGACAGCAGGGUGACCAUCUCCACCUUUCGAAUGGUUUCAUCCAGGACGAAGACAAUCCUCUUGGCCUCAGUGGUGUCAACAAGCAUUUAUUGAACCCCCACUAUAUGCCCAGCACUGCAGUGGGUGCUAGUGUGGAAUACAAAAGGAAAAAACCAACCCAAACCAGGCCAGAGAGCUCCAAGGCUGACGCUGGAGGUGGGGAGCUGAUUAAAUGCGCAGGGGCAGUACACACAUUAGGGGCUCCAGGCUGCACAGCCCAGGACUCCACAGGACUUUUUCUCCCAUGCCAUAGAAUCUCUUCACCCUGGAAGCUCACUGCACCCCGGGCUACUUCUCACACUGGAAGAACCCUUCACCCCUGAGGCCUCACCUUCUGAUUGGCUGGUCCCUCCCAGGCCUCCCAACUAAAGGAGAAGGCCCAAGCCAAAGAUGGGUUCCUCCUUCUCCUGGCUGUCCUGCUGACUCAGCUCCAUCUCAACCUUCUUUACCAGGCCCUAGGCUCGGUUCCUUCUGUAACCCCACCCCCACCCCCAGCUCCCUUAUCCCCUACAAGAAUGGAAGCUCCUUAAAGGGAGGGAAUAUUUGUCUUUCUCCUUCUGGCUGUAUUCCCAGAGUUUAGCCCAGAGCCUGAUUUAUAGCAAGGCUUAAUACAUGUCUACUGACUGA